AAAGUCCUGGGGCCCAAAGAAAGUUCAUCUAAUUCCACAGGUUAAAAACCCUGAAAAUGAAAACAUGACUAUUCUUCAGUUUGGAGUGGCUGAACUGUGAAGUAAAUUAACUACUGUUCAACAUCUAGCACUGGGGAGGAAGACACACUUUUAACAGGGAAGCGCCUGAGGAAAGAUACAGGUGUUUGAGGCUGGAAGGGAUCCUGAGAGGUCAUCACCCUGCCUUAAGGCAGAGUGAAUCUAAAGUCUCCUAGAGGAAAAUGAUGAAGAAUUUAAGAAUUCCACUACUCUUCUGCAGGACCACCCUCCUCAAUCCCCUGUUCCUGCUCCUCCAAACCAAAUCCAUCUUAGUAAGAGGACUCCUAGGAGACAGAACAAUAUCUGGAAAUAAGGAGAAACUAAGGAAUAUUCCUGGAAAGAAAGAAAGAAAAGUGGAGAACAUGAACUGGAGAAAUGGAAGUCUGGAGGAUUGGAGACCAAUUAAAAAGUUACUGCAAUAUCAAUAGUAACACAUGAGAAGGGAGCAGAUAAAGAGCCAUUAGCAAGAAUAAAUGGAAAGCAGAGAAAGUAGGAGGCA
rnacentral:lncRNA from 1 species